GUUAAAUUUUUUUUAAAAAUGUCCAUAAAAUCCUUUUAAACUAUAAACAAGGCAACUGGGAUACAAUUUGGUAGGGAUGUGCAUGGGCAAAAAAAUUGGUUUGGAAAUUUGGGUAAGUAAAAUUUUUUUGUCUGUUUUAGCAAUUCGGACCAAUGGCAUUCAGUUCGGUUCAGCACUUUGGAACUGCCGAACGUCGUCACUUCAGAACUUCGGUAGCAUCAAAAUGUCUGAAUGACAUAAAAUUUGUACGAAUGUACAUUUGGUACAAAAUGAAUUGCACAUGUCUACUGGUCACAUGAAUGCAAGCCAACACCCUGACAGCCUCAAUGACUCUGUGUGCCUUCAUUGUCCAAGUGUCAGUGACAAAAUCCCCAUUAAUUGGCUGUCCUCUAACAUCAAUGACAAAAAUGUGCUCAUUUCAUUGGACAAGGAAUGGUGAAACUGGAUUGGGCAUUACCUUGCACAAAGGAAUUGGCUUAUUGAUCAAGAUUCCUCUCAUCAUUCACAUUAUUUUCCCUCCCUCUUUCUUGUUUUGCCACUUUUCAGAAACCUGAAUCUUUUUGGCCCUUCUGAACUACCGAACUUCGUCACCUCGGAGCUUCAGGACUUCCAUCCAAAUGUCUGAAUGGCAUGAAAUUUGUGUGAAUGUACAUUCGGAACAAAACAAAUUGCACAUGUCUACAACUUGGAAAUUGAAUUGUUAAAAGAUGAGACACAAAUUAAAAAGGUAUAAAAUGUAAGGAAACACUUACACAUACAGUUUAAAUGUUUGACUUCUUACUAAAGUGAAAAUGCAAAGUGAAUUCAAAUGUAAGGUCAAAAUAGCUUGGCUUGAAAAUGUCAGCUAUGCUUUCAGUUCAAAUACUUUGGCCUUAAUUUGAAAUUCACUUGGAAUUCUCACUUUAGUCAAUAACACUGAUAGUCUAUUCCUCUACCUCCAAUAGAAAUAAAGUUUAUUACUAAUAAACUCACAUUUCUUUGGCUGCCAUAUUCAUAGAUUUGUUAUCAAUAAACCUUGUCAAGAAAUAGGUCUAUCUUUGAUUUGGUAACGGGUAUUCAAGGAGGAAGAAUAUGUUUUUAUGACUUUAUAUCAAUGAAGAACAUAAAGAACACAACUAAUGACUGACAAGAAAUCUGUUGGUUUUUCAGAAUGCGUUUUCAAAAGUUGUGAACACAAAUGCAGGUCAAAUAGCAAGCAGUUCAAGGGAAAAUGUUCAAGUUACCUAAAACUGGCAUACCCACCUCCAUAUCACUCAAUAGGUAUUUGUGUGAGGGUUAGGAUGUUGAAAUACAAUCUUGUCUUAUUUUGCUAUU